AACGAACGCUGGCGGCAUGCCUAACACAUGCAAGUCGAACGGGAUCCUAGCUUGCUAGGUGAGAGUGGCGGACGGGUGAGUAACACGUGGGAAUCUGCCUUUUGGUUCGGGAUAACCGCGGGAAACUGCGGCUAAUACCGAAUGCCCUCGAGAGAGGAAAGAUUUAUCGCCAGAAGAGGAGCCCGCGUCCGAUUAGGUAGUUGGUGGGGUAAAGGCCUACCAAGCCGACGAUCGGUAGCUGGUCUGAGAGGAUGAUCAGCCACACUGGGACUGAGAUACGGCCCAGACUCCUACGGAGGCAGCAGUGGGAAUAUUGGACAAUGGGGGCAACCCUGAUCCAGCAAUGCCGCGUGAGUGAUGAAGGCCUUAGGG
rnacentral:rRNA from 1 species